UUUCUUCAUUGUAUAAAUCAUCUUAUUGAUUCGAAUGAUACAGAGAAGAUUAGCAUGGCCCCUGUGCAAGGAUGACAUGCAAAUUCAUGAAGCAUCCCAUUUUUAA